rnacentral:lncRNA from 1 species
AAUUUCUUCUCUACCUCCGAUAAAAAACCUUGUCUAGUCAGUAUUUCCCUGGAAUCCAGAACACUGAUUUUUUUAUUUAUUUUUUUCCUACAACCAAUAUCUUUUCUAGUUCCUAUCUGUCUGGGCACCCCAGCCAAACUGUGACCCUAGCUUGCACUCUAUUGCUAGACAGGGUUUUACUGCUGUGAACAGACACCAUGACCAAGGCAACUCUUACAAAGGACAACAUUUAAUUGGGGUUGGCUUUCAGGUUCAGAGGUUCAGUCCAUUAUCAUCAAGGCAGGAGCAUGGCAGGCAUGCAUCUAGGCAGGCAUGGUGCAGGAGGAGCUGAGAGUUCUACAUCUUCAUCUGAAAGCUUCUAGCAGAAUACUGUCUUCUAGGCAGUUAGGAUGAGGGUCUUAAAUCACACACCCACAGUGACACACCUACUCCAACAGGGCCACACCUUCUAAUAGUGCCACUCCCUGGGCCGAGCAUAUACGAACCAUAACAAUUGUCUAUGAAAACUGGUGCCACAGAGCUUUGGUAAGUUUGGUUUUAGGGGAAAGAUAAAGCCAUGUUCAGCAGCUGUCAGUUUUAUUUGACCACAGACCUCCUUUGCAGCUGAGGCGUCUUGUUGCAGGACACAGCUCGGAAGACGCUUGGGGAAAUGCGGCUUGAAAAAGAACAUUAAGAGCAGGCGUUGAUCCUCUUCUCUCAGAAGAGCUGCAGUGCUGCAGAAUGUCUGAUUUGGAACCUUCUUGAUGGUUCCUCUGCGUUUCUGUGUUGUCAAUCCAAUCAAAGUCUUGAUUCUCCACUCUGCAAUAUGGUGCCCUUCCCCAAAGCACCUUUUCCUCUAAUUGAGCCAAUUCAGCAUUUAUUGAGGGCCAACUCUAAGUCCUCUGUUGUGGUGCUUGCCAGAAACAAAACAAAUUAGCCCCAGCUGACCUUGAGAAACCUAUUAUACGGUACGGUGAUCAUUUUAUAGAGUUGGUACUACAUGAAGCCAAUUAUUAUUUUUUUCCAUCUUAGGUCUAAAAUGCAUGUAAAAGGGAUUUACUCUCCUUCCACUCCAAAUAGUGAAGGAAACCCUAAAGGCAAAGGAGGAAGUUGUGAGCAUAUUUUAAAAAGGCAUGUGUGUGUGAGAGAAAAUGUCAUAAGUUACAUCAAAAUUUAAUAGUCUUACAUGUUGAAAUGUGCCAUAAACAGAAUUAAAAGGCAAGAAGUAAACUAGAAAGAGUAUAAAAGACAAAAAUUCAAUAUCCUGUAUAAAACAAGCCCAUAGUGGCACCAAAUUAAUCACGGGGCCAAUAAGUGAACGAAUGGAUGGAUAGAUGAAUGAAUGAAUUAAAAUGAAUUAAAAGCAAUAAGGCAAAUAAUUUUACCAGUGGAGUAAAAGAAAAUGUGAACACUUGAUUCAGGGCAUGUGGCAUAUCACACAGGCAUACACACACACACAAACACACACACACACACACAUAAAGAAAUAAAAAUAAUAACCAUAGGAACUCUCUACCUUAUUAACUUGGCAAAUGCUUUUAAAGCCUCUGCCAUCAUAGGUAUAUUAAUAGCUUAUAUUCUCUAAUUUCAUUUAAACAAGGCUUCAUCUGCAAUUGAUAUUGUUGCCCUUGUUUCAACGAUGAGCCUGGACUCCAGGAAGCUGAAUCACGCUGAAUCAUCAGAAUCGGAGUGCAUAUUCAUCUGGCUCCAUCCCAUCGGGCACCAUGUCUUCCUCUGUAUUUUUAAAAUCUUGAAGGGUAUUUGACCAUAUGGAGUGAUGUUGAGAAGCACAAUAAUAUGUACAUACAUAAGCCACAUGUGGUCUUUCAAGCUUAGCAUGUUGUGUGGGUUGCAGGUGGGUAGUGCUUAGCCCAUGCAUACACAUGCACAUGACUAUACAUGUAUGUAUUGUAUAGUGGAAAACCAACAUUUAAAAUAUUAUCCAACUGUGGCAGAGGACAUGGCCAAUGAGUGAGGUAUUUGCUGAGGAACCUGAGUUUGGAUCCCUAGAAACUGGUUAAAUCUGAGCAUGCUGGCGUGCGUCUGUCGGAGGGAGCAGAGACAGGUGGCCCUCUAGAGCCUAGCGGCUGCCCAUUCUAACACUGCUGAAACACACUGUCUCAAAUCAUACAGUAGAGAGCGAUUGAGGAAGACACUUGAUGUUGAUCUUUGGCCUCCACAGACAUCUGCAAAGAUGUGAGACUAUGUACACAUGUGAUUACAUACAUACAUGCAUAUAUAUGACCCCCCCACGCCACACCCCUAAACAUACAUACAUACCACACACAGAAAAAUAUUAUCAGUGUUCUCAGACUUGUAUGUGUGAGCAUAACAAAUGCUUUAAAGUUCUCAAUGAAGCAUGAGCAGAUAAGAGAGUAGCUUGUGUUGAGAGAAUUAGAAGUAUAGAAUAGAUGAGAAAGUGGGUAUACAGCCAGAUACAGGACAUAUGCGCACUAGAUACAUAUUUACAAAAUAAUUUUGCUAUGCUUCCCAAUUUUUUUAAUCAUAAAAGUGUCACUUUUUAGGUUAGAAAAAUAAACAUAAAAUAUAUUUUCCAUUACUUAUCAAAUGUCUACAAUGUUCUCUUUACAU